rnacentral:rRNA from 1 species
GAACGAGGAUAUAUCCUUCGGGAUGUAAGCCGAGUGGCACAAGGGUGAGCAAUGCAUAGAUUACCUACCUUUAGGAUAAGGGCAACUUUGUGAAAACGGAGCUAAUACUUAAUAAUACAAAAGAAAAUAAUUUUCUUUUGUCAAAGGGAGGGUAGCAAUACCUUUCGCCUAGAGAGGGGUUUAUGUCCUAUCAGCUUGUUGGUGGGGUAAUAGCCCACCAAGGCGAAGACGGGUAGCCGGUUUAAGAGGAUGGUCGGCCACACUGGGACUGAGACACUGCCCAGACUUCUACGGAAGGCUGCAGUCGAGAAUCUUUCGCAAUGCCCGAAAGGGUGACGAAGCGACGCCGCGUGGGUGAAGAAGGCCUUCGGGUUGUAAAGCCCUGUCAGGAGUUAUGAAAUGUAAGUGCGCUAAUAUCGUGCUUAUUUGACAAAGGCUCCAAAGGAAGCCACGGCUAACUCUGUGCCAGCAGCCGCGGUAAUACAGAGGUGGCGAGCGUUGUUCGGAAUUAUUGGGCGUAAAGAGCACGUAGGUGGGUUUGCAAGUCAGAUGUGAAAGCCUUCUGUUCAACGGAAGAAUUGCAUCUGAAACUGCUAAUCUUGAGUAUAGGAGGGGAGAAUGGAACUUCUGGUGGAGCGGUGAAAUGCGUAGAUAUCAGAAGGAACGCCGGCGGCGAAAGCGAUUCUCUGGCCUAUUACUGACACUCAGUGUGCGAAAGCUAGGGGAGCAAACGGGAUUAGAUACCCCGGUAGUCCUAGCCGUAAACGAUGGGCACUAAGUAGAGGGAAUUACCUAUAUUCUCUCUGCCGUAGCUAACGCAUUAAGUGCCCCGCCUGGGGAGUACGGCCGCAAGGCUAAAACUCAAAAGAAUUGACGGGGGCUCGCACAAGCGGUGGAGCAUGUGGCUUAAUUCGAUGCAACGCGAAAAACCUUACCGGGGCUUGACAUGAUAGAAGUAGGAACCUGAAAGGGGGACGAACGGUAUCCAGUCCGUAGCUAUCACAGGUGUUGCAUGGCUGUCGUCAGCUCGUGUCGUGAGACGUUGGGUUAAGUCCCCUAACGAGCGAAACCCUUGUUUUUAGUUACCAGCGGGUUAUGCCGGGUACUCUAGAAAGACUGCCGUCGUCAAGACGGAGGAAGGUGGGGAUGACGUCAAGUCAUCAUGGCCCUUAUGCCCCGGGCUGCACACGUGCUACAAUGGUCGGUACAGACGGAAGCGAAGCCGAGAGGUGAAGCGAAUCCUAAAAAGCCGAUCUCAGUUCGGAUUGGAGGCUGAAAUUCGCCUCCAUGAAGUUGGAAUCGCUAGUAAUCGCGGAUCAGCAAUGUCGCGGUGAAUAUGUUCCCGAGCCUUGUACACACCGCCCGUCAAGCCACCCAAGCAGGAUGCACCCGAAAACAUUAUAUCUAACCAGGGCAACUUGGAGGAAAAUGUUGAAGGAGUGUUUUGUGA